rnacentral:rRNA from 1 species
GAUGAACGCUGGCGGCGGGCCUAAUACAUGCAAGUCGAGCGAGCGGCGGACGGGUAAGUCAAACGUGGAAACCUACCUAUAAGACUGGGAUAACCUCGGGGAACCGGAGCUAAUACCGGAUACUUAUAGAUGGAUCCGCGAUGCAUUAGUGAGUUGGUAAGACAACGGCUUACCAAGGCAAGGCUGCGUGGCCGAACUGAGAGGUGGGUCUGCCACACUGGAACUGAGACACGGUCCAGACUCCUACGGGAGGCAGCAGUGGGGAAUAUUGCACAAUGGGCGCAAGCCUGAUGCAGCCAUGCCGCGUGUGUGAAGAAGGCCUUCGGGUUGUAAAGCACUUUCAGCGAGGAGGCGUUACUCGCAGAAGAAGCACCGGCUAACUCCGUGCCAGCAGCCGCGGUAAUUC